GAAGGGCUCGAGCGUUAAUCGGAAUCAUUGGGGCUUAAAGCGUACGCAGGCGGACGCGCAGGCAUCUUGUGAAAUCCCUCGGGCUCAACCGAGGAACUGCUUGGUGAACCGCGUGUCUUGAGGCAAGUAGGGGCUGUCGGAACGCUAGGUGGAGUGGUGAAAUGCGUUGAUAUCUAGCGGAACGCCGAAGGAGAAAUCAGGCAGCUGGGCUUGUUCUGACGCUGAGGUACGAAAGCGUGGGGAGCGAACGGGAUUAGAUACCCCGGUAGUCCACGCCGUAAACGAUGUGCACUAGAUCGAGGAGGUUCUGACACCGUUCUCGGUCGAAGCGAAAGUGUUAAGUGCACCGCCUGGGGAGUACGGUCGCAAGGCUA
rnacentral:rRNA from 1 species